AUUGAACGCUGGCGGCAGGCCUAACACAUGCAAGUCGAACGAGUGGCGGACGGGUGAGUAAUGUCUGGGAAACUGCCUGAUGGAGGGGGAUAACUACUGGAAACGGUAGCUAAUACCGCAUACCAUCGGAUUGGCCCAGAGGGGUUUGACUGGUAGGGGGGGUAACGGCUCACCUAGGAGACGAUCCCUAGCUGGUCUGAGAGGAUGACCGGCCACACUGGAACUGAGACACGGUCCAGACUCCUAUGGUAGGCAGCAGUGGGGAAUAUUGCACAAUGGGCGCAAGCCUGAUGCAGCCAUGCCGCGUGUAUGAAGAAGGCCUUCGGGUUGUAAAGUACUUUCAGCGGGGAGGCGUUACCCGCAGAAGAAGCACCGGCUAACUCCGUGCCAGCAGCCGCGGUAAUAC
rnacentral:rRNA from 1 species